rnacentral:rRNA from 1 species
CCGUUGCUUAAUAAGGCACUCUUCCCCAAUAUUCUGUCAGCAUUCUAAAAGAAGAAACAAGCAGACACAUAACAAGUUUAGCAUGUACUAGUAUAUGAAACUCAUUUCGGUGAACCAGUUCAUUAGUAAGGUGGACAAUAUUAAACUACCAAGUCUUCUAUUGCCAAGUACUAGUACAUAAUAAAAGCAUCAAACAAACAUAUAUCUAUGUCCUAUGGUAGCAAUGGAAUCUUAAAUUAGAAUAGUUGUUCUUCAGGUUUAGGCACUUGUUCUAC